rnacentral:lncRNA from 1 species
AGAGAAGCCACUGACAGCACAGGCCAAGGCGGAGACGGUGGAGGAACAGGGUGGUGAAUCCUCAAUUAACGGGAUGCUCAGGGAAGCCAUGCAGGCUGCGUAAAGCUGUUGUGAAAGGCCGCAUUUAGAAUAGACGCAGCAGCCUCUCAGCGCUAUCACUAACUUCAGCAGGCAGAAAGGCAGUUUCAGAGUUCUAGUCAGUGGUGAGAUGGGAGAUUAUUUCCUCUGGAAACCCUGAAUCUGUCUCUCUGAAAGCAUCUUCAUACUGUUAAAGGACUUGCUUAAUGGUAUGGCUCAGAGGUUCCAAAACUCAGUUUCUGAAACUAAUUCAAAAUGUGCGCUCAAGAAACAAAAGGAAAGAAACAAUCACGAGCAAAAAUACCAAAGACAUAAUGAUUUCAACUAAUGUCAAAUUCCCCGAGGAACCAGGGAGCUUGUCAAUAUUUGGGGAAAGGUGAAAGAACAUAGAAUAUCCUUUUUUCCGAGUAAUAUUAUUGAAUUUAAUAAUUUAGUGGAAAUGUUCAUUUAAUUAUGCAUUAAUGGGUAUGUAGUGAUCAUUUUUACAAAGUGCCAGGCGUGGUUGCUAGGCACAAGAGCUACUAAGAAGAAAGACACACCUCUGAAGUUAAAGAACAUUUAUUAGUCUUCUUGGAGUGAAUACCAAAACUUCCUGUGAUAAGACACAGACACCAGAAAGCUUUAAAAGAGUGAUUUAAGGAGGUAACCAGCACUUGCAGCCAACACUAUUAUGACUCCCUCAAGAUGUACACACACUGGAAUAAGCAUAAACAUUUACAAGGACAGGAAAAUUGAAUUCCUGAAAAUAUAUACCAAGCUGUAUUUUCACAAAUAAUCUUGUUUAUAGAUGCAUCAAUAUUCCUUGAGACUUGUUUGCAAUCACAGUUGUCCUCAGAGUUUUGAAGGCUUGUCAGAUGUUAAAGGAUUAGCCUUGGUCAGUAUAACUCUAGGAUAUUAACAUUCACUGGGCACCUACAUCUGAUUGGAAUCAUGCUAGGGGCUAGAGAAACAAAGAGAAGACACAUCCCUUUUCCCCUAGGCCUCAGAGUCUAAAGGGGGAGAGAAGCAAGUAAACACUCCAUUACAGUAAGUCCAUAUUGUAACUGGCAGGACAGACAUACACACAACCUGCUGUAGGAGCCAAAGGACGAGACUCUACAACCACGAGAUUGAGUAACCAGGAGACUGUCCGCAGCUCGUGUCUAAAUGCCUAGCUGAAAUCCAGAGAUGUCCAGCAGAGGAAUGGGAAGUAUCUAUAUAAAAAAAAAAGUCAUCUUUCCAAGUAUACCAUGAAUCUGGACUUCAAUUUCCCACUGAUUUCUUUCCUGCUGCUGACAAUGGUCACAUCACAAAAUCCUGUCUCAUCCACAAUAGGAGGGCUUAAGUUGCAUCACGUUGUCUUCAGAAACUGCAGAGCAUCUGUAGGAUCAACUAACGCAGAAAAAUUAAGUAGAAGUUCAAGGUUAGAUAAAGAACAGCAGGCACACAGUGAGUUACUCUUACCAUCACCGUGGGAAAUGGAGUUGAGGAGAGACGCAUCCACCUUCACUGUCUGCUCUUACCGUCUAAGAUUGGCAAGUUUGAGACCCUGUAAAUGAGUACACGGAAUGAUCAAAAGCAGUUAACAAGGACACGUUGGUCUCAGAAACACACAGGCUACUUUGGCAUGUGGGCGACUAAGAAUGAAGCCAACAGGAAAAGAAGUAAGAAGUAAAGAUGGGGAUGAAGUCCUGACAGCGCUGUUUGGGCCCCUGACCGAGCUGUACUUCAAACGAGACUAUCCCCUGGACUUUCAAGCAACUUGAGCCGAUAAAUUCCCCUUAUUUUUAAGCUAGGUAGAAUUGGUUUUCUUUCACAUGCAACAGAAAGAAUCCUAAGUGAUAUAUUUAGGAACUGAGAGGAACUAAACCUGCUAGUUGAAGGCAUCGUCUCUACAGCCAACAAAAGCUCAAGUAGUCAAAUCCGAUAGAUUCACAGCGUGGUCAACGGCGCUCUUCAAUGUCUUUGACUGGAUCUUUCUGUAUUCUUACUCGUGUUCACAAUCAGCCCACAUCUGAUUUUGAUAGAGUCAUUUUUUCUAAAUAUCUUUCCCAAUAGAAGGAAUAAAAUAUCUUGAGUUUUAUACAUGUGAAUCCCAUAUCUCCAUCUAUUUUUAAGCAUGUCCCUAAGACUCAAAACUCAAAAUUGUUAUUUUAUGAUGAGUCUUAAACAAAAACAAAAACAAAACCUCAAGGGUUUAAUCUGGAAUACUAAUCGGGUUGAAAAUAAACACAAAAGUUCAGCGGCCAAGAAUGAAAUAGUGAAAGACCAUUAUGACUUUUCUUUAGGCUCCAG